ensembl:lncRNA
CCUGAGCCUGGAAAGAAAUGGCGGACGGCAGCGUGGCGUGUGUGUUUGUGGUUUCUCUCAAUGUGUAUCAACCCUGGGGCGGCAGGUAGCCUAUUGGUUAGAGCGUUCGGCCAGUAACCGAAAGGUUUCUAGAUUGAAUAACCAAGCUGACAAGGUGUCUGCCUGUCUGUCCCUCCAUGGUGUCUGUGAACUUGUCCGGGAACCUGGCGGUGACCUAGGUGGUACUCCAAAGCCUCCUCUCCACCUAGCGACCUUUGACCUAUCUCAACCUCCAAGGCACAGUAGGCCUAUAGUAGUCAUCUCUCGAGGAUCAGAUGAUGACACGGGUACCAGAAGGGUCAGAAAGACAUGGAAGACCAGCUGCUUCCAGUUCCUCCUUAGGACGGCCAUAUUCACCAGCCUGUGCCCAGGGUCCCUUGCCCUCCAAUAUCUCCUCCCAUGUCCAUUCCUCCAGAAAGCGCUGCUCCUCCUCACCACGCUGCUUGGUCCGUUUGUGGUGGGAAGUUCUGUCACGACUGUCGUUCAAGGAAGACCAAGGUGCAGCGUGUGUCGUUGUCCUCCAGUAGGGGAUUCUCUCUGAGGACAACUGACAACGACAUCCAACCUUCCAAGUCACCCCAGACCCGCCACAGCACUCAGCAGGUCAGAGACACAGACUAGACUAACCCAGCUGUCUGGCAAUCAUCUCCACGACGACCUCUUCCCAGAGCUGGACGCCCCUACAAUGCCCGGACUCCACCUCCUGAAAGUGGGAGUGUAUGUGGGAGUGUCUUAAGACGACAGUGAAUGCCUUGGAAGGGCAUCCUCAACUUUCUUUCCCGGUUAUUUAUUAUAGGUCAUUUGUAUUUACUUUGUUAAAUUUGUAUAAAGUCAGUGUCAUUUUUUGAGUUAAAUUUGUAUAAAGUUAUUGUCAUUUUUUGAGUAGUUGAUAUUGUUUGCUGGGGAAAUACUCUCAGCUGGACAGCAAGUGAUGCUAUGAAAGUCUGGGGUCUCAUUUAUAGUUCGCACAAAACAUACCCCAAAACAUUUGUUUUACACAGAAAUUGGCAUUUAUAAAAAACUGAACUUGUAGUGAUAAUGUGCUUUUAUUCCAGCAAGCUUUAGACCAUGCGUAUGCACAGAAGGUUAUUGCAUUGCAAGCAAGCAAGUAGGGGAUACCUAGUCAGUGAACUGCAGACUUUUCCACCUUGCCGGAUCAGGGAUUCAAACCUUUUCUGGCCAUGAUGGGUUCAUAUUCCCAAAGUAGCUUUAGCCUGCAACAAAUGACCAUGUGCAUCUCUCAUUUAAUCAGGCUGCUAUUAAGUAUUUUGCUCUAUGUAUCCGAAAGGCAGCACAGAUUUAAUAUACAGUAGAGUUGAACAGAUGAACAGACAGUUGAUAUUUGGCAUUGAAGUGUGUAGGCUACCGCUGUAAGUGGGCCUACUAUAAAUGUACAUUUUUGGGGUGGAGUAGACUGACAGUGCAUUCAUUAUAUUUAGGUUUGGGAAAAAGUAAACGCUAAAUAUUAUUGAAUUCAAGUGAUCUAUUUACAGGUUUUCGACAAUUUGCUAUUGAUUUCUUUCUUUAAGAAACUGACCCACCAGAGACAGGCCCUACAGCAAAUGUCACUGGAAAAGUUAAAAACAUUCUGCCAACACCUCCAGAGACAUUUGAUCAAGCUCACCAUAUAUAUUCUUUAGAAACUUCCUUGUCCUAAUUCCAAUACUUCCAAAGUAUACAGCAAAAUAGGGGCAUUAUUUUCACUAUAAAAGGUGAAUGAUGAGCUCUUUACAGGUGGAGUUAUUACACACGUUCACAUGUGCUCCGUUUCAAGAAGGGUAUGGUUUAUAACCAGAAACAUGCAUAUAUAUGAAUGUUGUUUCAGAAGUAUCUGCACCCCACCAAGACAAACACCGUGGGAAACACUGACAUAUGAAACUGACUUUUAAGACUCUGGCUGUGCUAUGGCCCUAUAUGGCCUUGUAUCCUCUGUUCAGUGAUGGUCACAGCACCACCCCCUCUUUCUGCAGGGAGCAGUGGGUGUGCGACAGGCCAGGCUAGGUGUUUGUGGUUGGAAAUAGGUCUGAUUGGUGUGUGAGGCUGUCUUCUAGUGGUCUGUGUAAUUUGAGAAAUAUUGUCUGAAAUCCAUGUCAAUUCUGAAUAAUAUGUGGCAGUAACGUUCUUAUCCAUCAAAAGUUCAACUCAAGUAAUUUAUUUUCAGACAAGUUGAAUACAUUUUAAAGGCAGACAUUUUUUACUGUAUUUGUCAGACAAUCAUUAACCAAUCCAGCAGUUUUACACUGAUGUGCUUAAUAUAUGCCAUCUGGUUUGCUUAAUAUAACACAUUUGAAAUUAUUAUACGUUCACUUUUGAUACUUAAGUAUAUUUAAAACCAAAUUCUUUUAGACUUUUACUUAAGUAGUAUUUUACUGGGUGACUUUCACUUAUAUUACAGUAUCUUUACUUUUACUCAAGUACAAAUAUUGGGUUCUUUUUCCACCACUGAAAGUCUCAAACUGAACUGCAUCUCUGUCUCUGCCUGAUCUUUAAGUCCCACUGUAGAUGGGCAUCACCAUAAACCUCACCUGACCAUGCUUUCUGGAAGAAAUGUUUGGGGUGUGGUCAUUUUUUUCUGAAUGCUACGUGUUGAGUUUGACCCAUCCAAUGAGUUUAUUCAUUUGACAAUAUUCAAGAUGUUCAUUAUGUAAAAUCACUGCAAUUGAUGUCCUUUUUGUUUUCAGUUGGUUUGUUUCGAUAAGCUUUGCUGGUUUGAGAUCCAGGCAGCUUAUUGGCAGCACCCUCCAAUAAAGGUGUCUUCAAGUAGUAAUUUGUAUUUCUAAAAAUCUAUUGCUUAUGUAAAUGCAGUGGUUAACUGUUAUUUAUUUUCUACCAUCAGAAAUACAGUAUUGUUAGUCAUUAUUUUUGGUCCUCUUGUGAUCUUGGUCAUCUGAAUCUCUGUGAAAGCACUGUUUUAUUUUUAAAAACUAUCUCGAGGAAGUAACAGAUUUAAGUCAUUUUGGUGUACUCUUGUUAAUGUGUGUUAUUUAUCUUUCAAACAAGCUAACCUACUGUAAU